AAGGGAAGCGAGCCUGCGAGGGUAAGCGAAUCCCAAAAAUAACGUCCCAGUUCGGAUUGCAGUCUGCAACUCGAGUGCAUGAAGCUGGAAUCGCUAGUAAUCGCGGAUCAGCAUGCCGCGGUGAAUACGUUCCCGGGCCUUGUACACACCGCCCGUCACACCAUGGGAGUUUGUAACGCCCAAAGUCGGUGGCCUAACCUUUAUGGAGGGAGCCGCCUAAGGCGGGACAGAUGACUGGGGUGAAGUCGUAACAAGGUACC
rnacentral:rRNA from 1 species